GGGACGAAAUAGGCACAACCUUAUUAAUCUAGUAUCUUUCAUUAAAUGCCUUUUGUCACUUUGUUUUACCAGCUUUCCAGCCACUCAGAAAAGAUGAAAUCUUUCCAUGGGGGAAAAAGUCCUGGUAGAACAGUCAGACAGGAGGGAGAGACAAAGCAAAGAGCAGGUUGGUGGUUUGGAUACAGGCAACGCCAACAGUGUUUCACAGAGGUAGCUCUCACUUCUGUGGUGCAAGACGGGUGCUGGAGUGUGAGCCACGGGCAGUCUUAUCGAUGGGAGAGAAGGUCUCAUCAGCUCACCAAGCAUCCAGUCCUGGGCAACGUUCCCCUGUGACAGCCGGGACCUCCACACUGGGGCUUGCAGCCUGGCCCCUCAUGUUCUCUGGCAGAAUCUCCUAUCCCGCACAGCCAGCCCAUGUGGGCUCAGUGCUACUAUGGGAAGGACCCCUGAGGGCCCAGCAUCCACACAGAACCUAUUUUCCACUUGAACCUGGGAGACAGAGGUUGCAGUGAGCCAAGACUGUGCCACUGCACUCCAGCCUAGUGAUAGAGCAAGACUAUGUCUCAAAAAAAAAAGAUGAGAUGAUGUGGUCAAGAGGACCUUGGGUGGGGUGUGCUCUGAGAAGGUGACACUAAGUAAAGAUGAGAACUGCAGGAAAGAAGGCAGCUUUCUGAAGGUCAGGUGGAAGAAUGGUUUGUGCUGGAGAAAUGAAGUGUGGUGACUGGUCAGUUUGCAGGGCGUGGAGAACAUCAUGACACACCAUGGGGUUGGGGGUGUGUUACAGGAAGCUUGUAGCCAUGGUCAUGGCUUAGGGUUUUUACUGUAAGGGUAAAGGGAAGCCAUGGAAGGAUUUUAAGCAAGAAGUGAUGAUUGAGACAGUCGGGUGCCUGUUGUCCCAGGUACCUGGGAGGCUGCUGUGGGAGGAUUGCUUGAGGCCAGAAGUUCGAGUCCAGCCUGAGCAACAUAGUAAGGGCCCCAUCUCUUAAAAAAGUUUUUUUUAAAUGUUUAACAUCUGCCGGGCGCGGUGGCUCAAGCCUGUAAUCCCAGCACUUUGGGAGGCCAAGGCAGGUGGAUCACAAGGUCAACAGUUUGAGACCAUCCUGGUCAACAUGGUGAAACCCCGUCUCUACUAAAAAUACAAAAAAUUAGCUGGGCAUGGUGGCGCGUGCCUGUAAUCCCAGCUACUCAGGAAGCUGAGGCAGGAGAAUUGCCUGAACCCAGGAGGCGGAGGUUGCGGUGAGCCGAGAUCGCGCCAUUGCACUCCAGCCUGGGUAACAAGAGCGAAACUCCGUCUCAAAAAAAAAAAAAUGUUUAACAUCAUACAAACCAAUUUCUUUGAUCUGUUGUUUAGAGCAUGAGCCUCCCUCAAUGUGACAAGGUUUCUGCUGGUCAAGGCCAGGAUGUAGCUGGGGGAAAGGAGGAGAAAGCCAGGAACCUGCUGGAGGGCUGGUCCCUGAGUGGCAUAACCAGAGUCCAAACUUUAGCCCCCAUGAGGAAGGGGCUGCUGAGAUAUCAGUGUGGAAAGGAGCUGAUGAAACCGUGGGUCCAUUGGGCAUCUGGCUCCCUGUAUAUGUUGGCCCAGUAAAUCCUGACAAAUACUUUGAGAUGGGCGUAUCAGUCAUCUAUUGUUUUGUAACAAACUACCCCCAAAAAAAUAUUACCUUAAAAUAACAAACAUUUAGGGUGGGCGCGGUGGCUCACGCCUGUAAUCCCAGCACUUUGGGAGGUCAAGGCGGGUGGAUCACAAGGUCAGGAGAUUGAGACCAUGCUGGCCAACAUGGUGAAACCCCAUCUCUACUAAAAUACAAAUACAGCACGCCUGCUGGGCGUGGUGGCAGGCAGCUAUAGUCCCAGCUACUCGAGAGGCUGAAGCAGAAGAAUUGCUUGAACCUGGGAGGCAGAGGUUGCAGUGAGCUGAGAUGGUACCACUGCACCCUGCACUGCAGCCUGGUGACAGAGUGAGACUCCAUCUCAAAAAAAAAAAACAUUAUCUCACAGUUUCUACAGGUCAGGAAUUCAGGAACAUCAUGGUCAUUUAAAUCCAGGUGGCUCUGUCUCAGGGUCUCUUGUGAGGUUGCACCUGGGAUGUCAGCUGGGGCUUCCAUCAUCUGAAGGCUCAACUGGGGCUGGUGGAGCUACCUACAAGAUGACACCUUCACGUGGCUGCUGGCUGGAGGAUUUGGUCUUCACCAGUGAUCGACGCUGUUUUAGUGACAUAGCAGCUGGUUUUUGCCAGAGGAGGGAUCUGAGAUCAAGAAGGGGAAGAAGAAGGAACCCACAGUCCUUUUAUGACCACAGUCCCCAAGGUCGUACAGUACCACCUCUGCCUGAUUAUUUAGAAGCGAGUCACUAAUUCCAUCCCACACUCAAGGGCAGGGGAUGAGGCUCCACCUCUUAAAGGGGGGAAUAUCAAAGAGUUUGUUGUGGACAUAUUUUAAACCACAGCGGGCAGCAGCAUUCUCAUUCCCAGUUUAAGUCUUUAAUUAACUUACCCCAGAUCACACACAAGGAAGUGCUGAGAAGGAGAUUAGAAUCCAGCUCCUGGCCAGGGGUGGUGGCUCAUGCCUGUCCUCUCCGCAGUUUGGGAGGCUGAGGCAGGAGAAUAGCUGAGUCCAAGAGUUUGACACCAGCCUGGGUGACAUAGUUAGACCUUGUCUCUACAAAAAAUUAAAAAAAAAUGAGGCAGGAAGAUUACUUGAGACCAGGAGGUCACAACCGCAGGGAAGAAGGCAGCAGUUUGUGCUACUGCACUCCUGCCUGGGCAGUAAGACUGCCUCGGACGGUAAAAGAACCCAGCUGCCCAGAGCCCAUGUCCUUUCUCUGGUGCAUGCUGCCACCGUGGGAAGAAGGCAGUCAUAACCCGGCCAGCUCUCGCCCUGGCCUUGCUGCAGCCCCCGAGAAGGUAUCACGGAAGGCUGAGUCUAUGUGUGCGCUCAAAUUGGCCACUACGGCUUCACGAGGCUGCAUCUGAUCUCUCUGGGCUACUGGUGGCUACUCUCAUGGCCAAAGCAGUGCCUGUGUCCUGUUUUAUAGGGCCAAUCAACUCAUCUUUAUGGCAUAUAUACACCCCCCGUUUCCUCCUGCUCUCUGGGUACGCAUGCCUCAGGGUCUGAAGAGCCAGAGGAGUCUGCGGUGUUGGUAUGUCAUAGGCCAUGUUACUUUUCCAGGUCAACUCGCUGGGCCCAGCUCCUCCCUUCCACGGCUGAGUGAUUUCCUGGAGGCUCCUUGGCCUCUGCACGAGCUUCUGAGUCCUGCUUUUGUCACCCAGGCUGAAGUGCAGAGGCACUAUCUCGACACACUGCAACCUCUGCCUCCUGGGUUCAAGCGAUUCUCCUGUCUCCGCUUCCUGAGUAGCUGGAUCACAGGCCUUUGCCACCACACCUGGCUAAUUUUUGUACUUUUAGUACAGACGUGCUUUUGUCACGUCGGCCAGGCUGGUCUCGAACUCCUGAUCUCAAUUGAUCCACCCGCCUCAGCCUCCUAAAGUGCUGGGAUUAUAGGCGUGAACCACGGCGCCCGGCCCCCAGAGUCAUUUUCAACCCUCCAAGGAGCAUCUUACAAUGGAAGCCUUCAGACUCAGAGAAGGACUUACCCCAUGGGCUUCCAGUUCCCAGUCCUUUGAGUGUGGGUUGGCUGUAGAUGGAGGAUCUUGGGACUUCUCUGCCUCCACAACCACGUAAGCCAGUUCCUCAUGCCAAGCCUCUUCCUGCACAUCUGUAUACAUCUCGUUGGCUCCGGUUCUCUGGAGAACCUAACUCAUACGUGCCGUUCUCCAGCUGAUGUCUCAGGGCCCUGCAUUCCUGGGAAGGUAAGGUGAUGGGCGUGGCCGACACAGACGCACUUAACACUUCAGCCUUGACAGUGGAAAAUAGUUACUCUUUAUGCUUGGUGGAAAGUUUCGAAAGACGGCCAGUGUGGUGGCUCUCAACUGUGAUCCCAGUGCUUCGGGAGGGCAAGACUGGAGAAUCACUUGAGCCCAGGAGUUGGAGACCAGCCUGGGCAACACAGUGAGACCCCAUCUCUACAAGAAUUUUUUUUUUAAUUAGCCAGAUGUGGUGGUGCAUGCCUGUAGUCCCCGCCACUCAGGAGGCUGACAUGGGAGGACUGCUCGAGCCCAGGAGCUCGAAGCUUCAGUGAGCCAUGAUCGAACCACUGCACUCCAGCCUGGGCAAGAGAGCAAGAUUGUCUUAAAAAAAGAAAAAUUUCAAAAGACAUCCAAGCCAUCGGGCUUUCUUUCUCUCCUAAGCUGGCCAGCUCACCUGCUUACCCUAGAGGGGUAGGGCAGGGCCAGAAACUCUCCCUUGGCUGCAGUAUUGGGGGUGCUGGCAUGGGGGGUAGGGUCUGCAUCUCCCCUACACUUUGCAUGUUGCUCUCAGCACCAUCAAGAGAGGACAUUCGCAGCGGUGGCAGAUGGAGCUAUUCAUGUUGUCACCACUUCUGAGUAGCCCCCGGAGGCCCAGAGACAAAUGCAACCAAGACCCUGCCCUUCCAGAGCUCACCGGAGCUCACUGGUUGCUCUUAGUGUUGCCAUAGAAACGGAAGCCCGGACUGCUCAGUUGUGGCCUCCCCUAAAAGAUAUGUCCACCUGGAACCUGCAGCAUGCGAUCUUAUUGGACUCAAGACCUCUGCAGGUGUGAUACAGCUGAGGCUCUCAAGAUGAGCUCAUCCUGGAUCAGAAUGGGCCCUAAAUCCAAUGACAAGUGCUGAGAAGAGAAGAGAAGAGAAGAGGGAACAGACACAGAGACUCCGAGGAGAAGGCGGCGUGAAGAUGGAGGCAGAGCCUGGUGUGAUGGGGCCACAAGCCCAGGAAGGCUGGAAGAGGCAGGACGGGUCCUCCCUACAGCCUCUCAGGCAGCACGGCCUGCUCAGAUCUUGAUUUUGAGCUUCAGGCCUCCAGAACUGGGUGAGAAUAAAUUUCUGUGGUUUAAGCCACCCAGUUCGUGGUCAUUUGUUUUGGUAGCCCCAAAAAAGAAUACAAGGCGCCCAGGCGCAGUGGCUCAGACCUAUAAUUCCAGCACUUUGGGAGGCCAGGGUGGGUGGAUCACCUGAGGUCAGGAGUUCGAGACCAGACUGGCCUACAUGGUGAAACCCCGUCUGUACUAAAAGUACAAAAACUAGGUGCGGUGGCACAUGCCUGUAAUCCCAGCUACUCAGGAGGCUGAGACAGGAGAAUCGCUUGAAGGAACCCGGGAGGCAGAGGUUAUGGUGGACCGAGAUUGAACCCCCCCGCAUGGGGCUCCCAGGACGCGCACUGUGACUUGCCGAGGAGUGUGGGGAAGGUUUCUCAGGCUCUUGAGGUUAGCUUGCCUGGGAAAGUUCGGAAGCCGUUCGGGCCCAGGAGACUCAGGGCUGCGACGUAGGAUCCAGCAUGGCUUCGGCUUCCUAACUCCCCUUCAGACCUGGGUUCAGGGAAGCGGCUAAGAUUCUCCCCCUGCCUCGGCCACCUCGGGACAGGAGUUGUGACCUUGAAUCAGGCAACUUGUCUCAGUCACGGGCAGUUGGAGCCCAAGUCCUUCAGUCCAGAAGGGAGGGCGGAGGGUCGUCAAACUGUCCCUAUAGACCCGAUUACUUUUAUGCCAACAGCAGGCAGAGGGAUUCCCUGCUUCAGGGAAAGAGGGUUGCCUGGCCCCGAUCCAAGUGUGACCUGGAACUCAGCACCCUCCAUGUGCCGUGUUCCAGCCCAGCAGUCAGCAUGAGGCUCCCUGCCUGUUCCUGGGUAUCCCUGUGAGGGGUUGAGUCACAGUGGGUUAUCAUUGUAGGGACUUAAGUGGGGCCUCCACGGGCACAGUGGCAAGUGCAAGUAGUCCCCACUACUCAGGAGGCUGAGGCGGGAGGAUCGAUCGAGCCUGGGAGGCAGAGAUUGCAGUGAGCCGUGAUCAUAUCACUGCACUCCAUCCUGGGCAACACAGCCAGCCCCUGUCUUUUCAGCUCACUGCAACCUCCACCUCCCGGGAUCACACAGCUCUCCCGCCUCAGCCUCCCACAUAGCUGAGAUUACAGGUGACACCACCACACACCGCUAAUUUUUUGUAUUUUUAGUAGAGACGGGGUUUCACCAUGUUGGCUAGACUGGUCUCAAACUCCUGACCUCAUGAUCUGCCGCCUCGGCCUGGCAAAGUGCUGGGAUUACAAGUGUGAGCCACCACACCCAGCCAAGACCCUGUCUUAAAAAAAAAAUGCCAGGCUCAGUGGCUCACACCUGUAAUCCCAGCACUUUGAGAGGCUGAGGCAGGAGAAUCACUUGAACCUGGGAGGCAGAAGUUGCACUGAGCUGAAAUCGUGCAGCUGCACUCCAGCCUGGGCAGCACAGCAAGACUCCAUCUCAAAAAAAAAAAAAAAGAGAGAGAGAGGAGAGAGAGAGAGAGAGCUUGCACAAGUUUGCUGCCGACACCUGAUUGCUGCGCUUCACAGUGUCGCCCAGGACAGGUCGGGCAGACCUUGUUCCUGUUGCAGACGUGUUUGCCAACCUCUCAGUUCUCGCCACCCAGUGUCCCUCCUGUGCUGUGGUUUUCUGCUCUCAACAUCCGUGAGAGAAAGCACUCUGUCCGCUGGGCUUCUGCUGAUGGCUGACUCACACGGUGGCCGAACAGAGCUCAGCUCUACCCCGUCCUCUUU